GCUGCACCAGAGUGAGGGGAGUGGGAGAUGGAGGUGGAUGGAGCAGAGCAGAGCUGCGGCCAGCUCCGUUGCGCAGAGCCAUCAGCGCUGCUCGCAGCAGUGUGACCUACUUUAUCGUUCCUCGCUGACUUCCUCGCUGAAAUGCCUCCGUGAAUGACAAGCCUGUCUGCAAGCCCCAGCCCAGCUUACACCUGUGUGCUCCUGGACCUCCAAUUUCUCACUGUGGAGCCGGCACCAGGACAGAAUUCAGCAAGGGCAGCAAAGGGGAAAAAGGUGGAUAAUGCCAAAUAAAGAGGUGGCAGUAAACCAUACUUCUGUCCCAUGGCUAUCAAAGUGCUUUUUUUUGAAGCCCUCCCAAAGUGUAAGGAGCCCUUCCAGGUGGAAGCACCAGUGGCAAUGCAGCCGUGUCCAGAUGACCCAUGACGUGGCCACGCAGGGGUCUGGUGGGCUUUUGCUCUACCCUUGAGCGCUAUGAGACUGGGCAAGCCCAUGGGAACUGGGAUGCUCAGACACACGUCACUGCUGCUUUGGGAUCAUCUAAAAUAGGUGACCCAUGUGGCUUGGGGAGAACAUCAGUCCCAUCACCUUAGCCAUACUGUAAUGGCUCGGAGCAUGGACAAGGGAUGAAAUUGUGGACAGCUGGCUUGGGCUGUUCAAAUUGCCACACGUAGGUGGCCGGGAGAGGGGGGAGCCUCCAUCCCCUGCUCUGCAGAGGCAGUUUGCCUCCUCCUGUGAGCGAUGCCCGUGGUAUAGCAGCAGCCUGGUACAUCGGUG